CUAUUGGAUACCACAACAGAACAUGUUCCCAUUCCCCUUGCAGUAUCAAACCCGGGGGAACCAGCAUCCCUAAAGCCACCAGCAGAGUUUGAAACAGGGGCCCAACAGUAUGGCUGCAGGGGCCUUGCACUCCUGCCCCAUGCCCACGUGCUUGGGCAUCGCACCCGCUCGCCAGGGGCUGCCUCUGAGCCCCGCCACAGCCAGCAGCUCUCUGCACCUUCAGCGCGCUGCGCUGCUUUGAAGCAAAACCAAGGUAAUUUCUGCCAGACAAAACGCUUUCUCUCUCUCUCUCUUUUUUUUUUUUUUAUUUUUUUUCCUAGAACCCGAUUUAUUUUUUGCCUCUUUGAGAGGUCCUUGCUCUGGGGAAUCCCUCGCAGACCUGUGCGCACCAGGAGUUCACCGCCUGCUGGGAAAGAAAAAAAAAAAAAUAUAUAUAUAUAUAUAUAUAUAUGUAUAUAUAUAUGGCAGGACACACUCAUUUGUUGCAAUUUGGCUGAUUUUCCUCAAACAACCUCAAACCCGGGCGGCGGGAGCCCUGCCCGCUGCGGGCUGCGCGCACGGCGGGGACCCAGCGCCACCGUCUGGGGACGCGUCCGGAGCCGCCCCGGCCCCGGCAGCCCCCCCCCNNNNNNNNNNNNNNNNNNNNNNNNNCCCCCCCCCGGCUGCCGCUUCCCUUCUCCAGCAUCCCUCCUCUCCCCGUUUCGGGGCACUUUUGGCAGGGCGCAAGGCACCCCGUCGCGUUGCCUGUGCCCCACCGCUGGGAGAGCACUGACCCGGUUGCUCCGCAUUCGCUGCGCGGAGCUGCCAGGUGCGCCGCGGUGGCCCGGGGACAGAUGCAGGGGUCUUGAGGACAAUCAUGCAUUUAAUCGCAGCCACGCUGUCCCUGCAGCCUGGUCCUGUCAGCACCAGUGUACCUCCGCGGUCAGUGAGCCUGGGUGCUGGCCAUCGCUCUUGGCACGGACGUCGCUUCCACGUGGGCAAUGCUGGCGGUGUCCAGGUGCACCCCAGCCUUGGCAGCAGGACACUGGCAACCUGUAA
rnacentral:lncRNA from 1 species